rnacentral:tRNA from 1 species
ACCGCGAUAGCUCAGCUGGAAGAGCUUCCACCUGGUAAGCAGAAGGUCGUUGAUUCGAAUCCAACUCGCGGGG